GAUGAACGCUGGCGGCGUGCCUAAUACAUGCAAGUCGAGCGAACAGACGAGGAGCUUGCUCCUCUGACGUUAGCGGCGGACGGGUGAGUAACACGUGGAUAACCUACCUAUAAGACUGGGAUAACUUCGGGAAACCGGUGCUAAUACCGGAUAAUAUAUUGAACCGCAUGGUUCAAUAGUGAAAGACGGUUUUGCUGUCACUUAUAGAUGGAUCCGCGUCGCAUUAGCUAGUUGGUAAGGUAACGGCUUACCAAGGCGACGAUUCGUAGCCGACCUGAGAGGGUGAUCGGCCACACUGGAACUGAGACACGGUCCAGACUCCUACGGGAGGCAGCAGUAGGGAAUCUUCCGCAAUGGGCGAAAGCCUGACGGAGCAACGCCGCGUGAGUGAUGAAGGUCUUCGGAUCGUAAAACUCUGUUAUUAGGGAAGAACAAAUGUGUAAGUAACUAUGCACGUCUUGACGGUACCUAAUCAGAAAGCCACGGCUAACUACGUG
rnacentral:rRNA from 1 species